rnacentral:misc_RNA from 1 species
CCAAUAGCGUAUAUUAAAGUUGUUGCAGUUAAAAAGCUCGUAGUUGAAUUUCGAGAUCAAUUUGUUGGUCGUGCCUCGGUACGUACUGGCAAUUUUGAUUUCUCCCUUCUGAAGAACCAUGAUGUCAUUAAUUUGGUGUCAUGGGGAAUCAGGACCGUUACUUUGAAAAAAUUAGAGUGUUUAAAGCAGGCUCGCGCUUGAAUACAUUAGCAUGGAAUAAUGAAAUAGGACGUUUGAUUCUAUUUUGUUGGUUUCUAGGAUCGACGUAAUGAUUAAUAGGGAUAGUUGGGGGCAUUAGUAUUCAAUUGUCAGAGGUGAAAUUCUUGGAUUUAUUGAAGACUAACUACUGCGAAAGCAUUUGCCAAGGAUGUUUUCAUUAAUCAAGAACGAAAGUUAGUGGAUCGAAGACGAUCAGAUACCGUCGUAGUCUUAACCAUAAACUAUGCCGACUAGGGAUCGGAUGAUGUUAAUUUUUUAAUGACUCAUUCGGCGCCUUACG